rnacentral:rRNA from 1 species
GGCACCCGAUUUGCUUACUGCACCACAUGUGUUUUUCUUUGAAACAAACUUGCUUUGGCGGUGGGCCCAGCCUGCCGCCAGAGGUCUAAACUUACAACCAAUUUUUUAUCAACUUGUCACACCAGAUUAUUACUUAAUAGUCAAAACUUUCAACAACGGAUCUCUUGGUUCUCGCAUCGAUGAAGAACGCAGCGAAAUGCGAUACGUAAUAUGAAUUGCAGAUAUUCGUGAAUCAUCGAAUCUUUGAACGCACAUUGCGCCCUCUGGUAUUCCGGAGGGCAUGCCUGUUUGAGCGUCGUUUCUCCCUCAAACCGCUGGGUUUGGUGUUGAGCAAUACGACUUGGGUUUGCUUGAAAGACGGUAGUGGUAAGGCGGGAUCGCUUUGACAAUGGCUUAGGUCUAACCAAAAACAUUGCUUGCGGCGGUAACGUCCACCACGUAUAUCUUCAAACUUUGACCUCAAAUCAGGUAGGACUACCCGCUGAACUUAAGCAUAUCAUAA